rnacentral:misc_RNA from 1 species
GAUGAAGAACGUAGCGAAAUGCGAUAAGUAGUGUGAAUUGCAGAAUUCAGUGAAUCAUCGAAUCUUUGAACGCACAUUGCGCCCUUUGGUAUUCCUUAGGGCAUGCCUGUUCGAGCGUCAUUUAAACCUUCAAGCUAAGCUUGGUGUUGGGUGACUGUCCGCUUCACGGCGGACUCGCCUCAAAACGAUUGGCAGCCGGCGUAUUGAUUUCGGAGCGCAGUACAUCUCGCGCUUUGACAACAAAACGACGACGUCCAAAAAGUACAUUUUUUACACUCUUGACCUCGGAUCAGGUAGGGAUACCCGCUGAACUUAAGCAUAUCAAUAAGCGGAGGA